AUAGUACUCCCUCCAUUUCAAAAUUCUUGUCUUAAAUUUGCGUAGGUAUGAAUGUACCUAGUCACGUUUUAGUAUUUAGAUACAUCCAUUUCUAAACAAAACUAAGACAAAAAAUUUAGAACGGAAGGAGUAUAUA
rfam:Hordeum vulgare subsp. vulgare, WGS project CAJW01000000 data, contig: morex_contig_1582752